rfam:Drosophila yakuba strain Tai18E2 chromosome 3L v2_Cont3.14, whole genome shotgun sequence.
CCUAUGAUGAAAUUAAUUGGUCCGUGUUUAUGAAUUUAAAUUGAUUACAGAAAUCUUCCAAUUACUACUGAGCAAA